UUUUAGCCCCGAUAGUAGCGGAAAUCCUUGUGGGCCUGGGUUCGGCACACAAGAUUACUUCACUAUGCUUUUAUUUUAAUCGGAGUUCAGUGAACUUCGUUUGUAGCGGAUAGCGGGAUUAGCU
rnacentral:sRNA from 1 species